rnacentral:rRNA from 1 species
AGGAAUCUUGCGCAAUGGGCGAAAGCCUGACGCAGCGACGCCGCGUGAAGGAAGACGGCCUUCGGGUUGUAAACUUCUUUUAUCAGGGAAGAAGGAUGUGACGGUACCUGAUGAAUAAGCCCCGGCUAACUACGUGCCAGCAGCCGCGGUAAUACGUAGGGGGCGAGCGUUGUCCGAAGUUACUGGGCGUAAAGCGCGCGUAGGCGGACUUUUAAGUCGGUGGUGAAAUUCCAAGGCUCAACCUUGGAACUGCCUCCGAAACUGGAGGUCUUGAGGUAUGGAGAGGGAAGUGGAAUUCCUGGUGUAGCGGUGAAAUGCGUAGAUAUCAGGAGGAACACCCGUGGCGAAGGCGGCUUCCUGGCCAUAUCCUGACGCUGAGGUGCGAAAGCCAGGGGAGCGAA